UGCUAGGAAAACUGAAUAUCCCACAUGCAAAAGACUGAAGUUAAACCUUUAUUAGACCCUUAUCUUACACCAUGUACAAAAAUUGACUCAAGAUGGUUAAAAGACCUAAAUAUAAGACCAAAAUUAUCCUAGAAAAAAACAAAAGGGGAAAGGCUUAGGACAUUAGAUUUGGCAGUGAUAUCCUGAGCAUGACACCAAAUGCAUGGGCAACAAAAAUAAAAAUAGACAAAGGGAACUACAUCAAGCUUAAGAACUUCUGUGUAUCAAAGGAAACAACAGAAUGAAAGGUAACCUAUGGAAUGAGAGGAACCUUUGCAAGUCAUAUAUCUGGCAAAGGGUUAAUAUCUAGAAUAUCUAACAAACUUACACAAUUCAACAACAAAUUACUUGAUCAGAAAAUGGGCACAUGAUUUUACAGACAGUUCUUUAAAGAAGAUAUGCAAAUAGCCAACAAAUACAUGAAAAGAUGCUUAACAUCACUAAUUGUAAGAAAAAUGCCAUGAACAUUACAAUUAGAAAUGCAAUUAAAAUUAUAAUCUCACACCCAUUAGGAUGGUGACCAUCAAAAGAAUAGAAAGUAACAAAUGUUGGUGAGGAUAUAGAGAAACUGGAAUCCUUGAGUACUGUUGGUGAAGGAAGUACAAAAGGUGUAGCUAUUAUGGCUACUAGUAUAUAGGUUUCCCCAAAAUCAAAAAUGAAAUUGCCAUAUGAUCUAGCAAACUCACCUCUGAGUAUAUAUCUGGAAGAAUUUAAGACAGGGUCUUAUAGAGAUAUUUGCGCAGUCAUGUUCAUUGCAACAUUAUUCACAAUAGCUAAGAGGUGGAAGCAACCUAAAUGUCAAUGUCAGGUGAAUGGAUAAACAAAAUGAGGUAUAUACAUACAAUGCACUAUUAUGUAGCCUUUAAAGAAGAAGGAAGUCUGUCACAUGCCACAGCAUGGAUAUUAUGCUCAGUGAAAUAAGCCAGUCACAAAAGAACAAAUACUAUAUGAUUCUACUCAUGAAAUGUUUAAAUUAGUCAAAAUCAUAGAAAAAAAGUAGAAAGUUGUUUGCCAAGGGUUAAGCAGAGAGGGAAAGGGGGAAUUAGUGUUUAAUGUGAAUAGUUUCAGUUUUGCAAGAUGAAAAAGUUCUAGAGAUCUAUUGUACCACGAUGUCAAUAUACUUAACAUUAUUGAACUGUAUAUUUAAAAAUGGUUAAGACAGUAAACUUGAUGUUACAUGUUUUUUAACACACACGUACACAUGCAAGAAUUAGCUGUGCAAAGUAUUGUUUCCAAAAAAGUACAAGUUGAAUGUGUAUCUGGGCUAAUCUUCUAAUUAUGUCCUAAUAAAUAUAAUUAGUUCUGGAGUUGGAAAUUCUAACUCACAUAUGAUUACCAAGUCUUUUUUUUUAUUUUUUUAUUUUUUGGCUGUGCUUGUGGUGUGUGGAAGUUAGUGGUCCAGGAACUGAACCUGUGCCACAGCAAGUGAACAGAGCCACAGCAGUGACAAUGCCGAGUCUUUAACCCCCUGUGUCACAAGGAAACUCCUGAUUGGUCAAGACUUUAUGGCCAAUGAGUAGCACAGUACUGACAAAUUCUACAUUAAUCACUAGGCAGAUAUCUUAGGAGUUUUAUGCCAAAUUUAUAAUUUUCCUUAAAAAGAGAGCUAUUGGUUUGUAGGGACAAAAUAUAGUGGCAGAUGAAACCAAAACAAGAAUGAUUAUUCACAUUUUGGUGUGACAAUCCCAGUUGGUUCCUGGGUGAAUUUCAUUCUAUUUUGCCUGACAUCAAGAUCCCAACAUACAUGGCUCAUUAGUGCUUGUAGGCAUUUCUAUAAUGGCGAUUUAUUACAUUUCACGUGACAGAAUCUGUCCUUUGAAGAACUGUUUUCUGACUCUUUCAACCCGCAACACCUGCCAAAUCAAGUGGUCUGCUCUCGUUCCCUGUUCCCAUACAGACUCUGGAAGUUUUUGUGUGCAGGAGAGCAGGACUGAAAAGCUUUGGCAGGAAGGUCUUUGCAGCAGCCUGCCUGUCGAACUGCAUGGAUCAACAAUUUCUCAAUUAGAAGAAGAUAGACGAGAAGAUAAAGCAUGCGGUGACUGUAAAGCUUCAAGCAGCAGCUGAGGAAGAUUUUGGAACAUCUGGUCGGAAUCGAUUUCUUUUUAGGAACUUCGAAAGUUUGUUCCCCAGUCUCUCCUGCAAGUUCCCAAAUGCUUCUUUAGUUGCAGAAAAUGCAGAAAGAAGAGAAGGGGAACAAAGACUCAGAAGACUGAACCCGAGAGCCAGAUGGUUAAUUGAACUAUGAAGGGCAAAGGGAAGCCGAAAAAAACCAGACCAUUAGGGAAGGAUCAUAUAAGGGCUCCCAGGGCUGAGGAAAUCAAGUGGUAUACCACUUUAAAUGUUUGACCAUGAACGAGUCUUUGGAGAGUCACUUUUCUAAGUUUAGGAAUCAAAGAAAAAGUUGUCCCGCUGCAGAUUGAUCUAUUUGCUGGCGGGCUGAACUGGAGAUUAUGGCUUCGGAGCCGGCUGUCCUUGUUGGAGGACACAAUGCACCAUAGAUUUUUAUUUUCACGAAACAGACUCCAGAGGUUUGCGGCCUUCCAGACAGCAGCUGGCGCCGGGCAGAGGCAUCGCUUCGGGCCGGAGCUACUGGCGACCGCGCGGCGCUUGGCUGUGCGUCCCAGGCAGUCGAGCCAGCACCGCAGCCGGAGCCUUCCCAUCCGAGCAGACGCUGUUCCCUUCUGGAAGAACUCUGGGGGCUCGCAACUGACUGUUCCUCAGCAAAUUUGGGGAAGAGGACCUGGUUUAAAGAAAAGGAGGGAGUAGCUUUGGAAAAGGGUUGGCUCCUCCUUAUAACUCUGGUGCCUGAAGCGGGUGAGAUAGAUGGUGGCCAAAUAA
rnacentral:lncRNA from 1 species